CAGCCGCUCGAUGUUGCCGCCUUGCUGGAGCACCUCGCAGACGCAGGCCACUUGCUCUUGGGUGAAGCCAAAAGUCGGGAGCAUCGACAUGCGCUCGCAGCGGCCGCGGCUCUCACACCCCCACCCCCCUCGGCCGACGGUUUGGGAUCUCCCUGUUUCCCCCCCAACCCCCACCGCCAGAUCCCACAUAAUAUAGUGGUAAAGCCCUGCUCGCUCGCUCUUCUCCCUCUCGGAGUUUUCCCCCCUUUCUUUCUCUCUCUCUCUCUCUCUCUCUCUUUUUUUUUUUUUUAAUAAUAUUAUUCUAAGCUGGCAUGAAAAGUGAUUAUCCGCGCUGUGAUUGGUCCGGUUAUCUGACCCGGGGACUGCCAGCAGAAGACAAUAGUUUUAGUCAAAUUAUUUGCCAUGGUGACGCUGUCAAUCAGGGGUAACCCGAUCUGUUUUGAGGUGGCUCCCCGGCUGGGUUGACAGAUUGCUCAGAUCCACUCAGAGGCGGCCCUGCGAGCUGAGAUAUUAGCUAGCGAGAGAGAAAUUUCCGCCGUGAUUGACGCUGCAGGCGCCCGUCGGGGGAGAGGGGGAGCGCCGGAGAGCGGAGCCCGAGCCCCUGCUUCUCGCCGCAGGGCGCUGCGGCGCGGCGGGACGGAGCCGCCUCCCCGGCCGGGCCCCGCCGCCCCGUCUGGAUCCCGCAGUCCCGUCCCGACCCCGCCGCUCAGGACCUCGGGCUCUGCCGUCCUCGGCACCCGCGGCUGCGGUGGGGAGAAAAGCCCGUCUCAAGCCCUUGCAGAAAAAUUUCUUCCUAAAUGCUUUCGCUUAGCCCCCCUCCCCAGAGCCCAGUAACCGCUGUCGGAGAGUUUUAUAUGGAAGGGGCCUCUCAUGUACAAUGGAGACCCUGUUCGUGACCUGGGAUCCCAUUACACGCUGGUCGUACCUGCCCGGGAGCGAGGAGAAGGCAUGAUGAUAUGGGAUUGCCUCUCCAUGAAUCGCCGACCGUGCCCCACCACGCUCUGGCGUGCAGAGCGCUGGCAUUUGUGAUCACUGGACGCCGGACAUUUAUUUAUACUCGAUUUCCAGGAGUGUGUCGGGAUGUUUCAUCCAGGAGAGGAACACGUGUAAAAGUGUAAAAGUCAGAGGCACUUCGCUUGA